CUCAUCCAUUGCUAAAAAAAUGGCGCCCAUCUGAUCGCAUCGCGCGGUCAAGAGAUAUUUUAUUAGAUCAAUAUAUCGUACAGUGUGAAGAUUCAGAAAAUGUCAAAGCAUUAUGUCUCAAGAAAUAACUAUAAAUGUGAUGUUUGUGGUAAAUCAUUUACCACUAGUGGUCAUCAACAGAGACACACCAGAAUUCAUACUGGUGAAAAACCCUUUUCAUGUAAUGUUUGUUGUAAAUCAUUUACACAAAGUAGUGGUAUCAACACAUGAAAUUCCAUACUGCAGAAAAAAAUCUUUCUUGUGAUGUUUGUAGUAAAUAUUUUACUACUAGCAGUGAUUAACAUAAAGACACCAGACUCCAUACUGGGGAAAAAACCCUUUCUUGUGAUGUUUGUAGUAAAUAUUUUACUACUAGCAGUGAUUAACAUAAAGACACCAGACUCCAUACUGGGGAAAAAACCCUUUCUUGUGAUGUUUGUAGUUAAUAUUUUACUACUAGCAGUGAUUAACAUAAAGACACCAGACUCCAUACUGGGGAAAAAACCCUUUCUUGUGAUGUUUGUAGUUAAUAUUUUACUACUAGCAGUGAUUAACAUAAAGACACCAGACUCCAUACUGGGGAAAACCCCUGUUCUUGUAAAUAUUUUACCACUUGUAAUGGUUUAUAUAAAUGUACAAAAACCGUCCUACUAUUCUGCACCGACUGGGCUAUUGAAGAUCAACAUGAAAUAAUCUACUCCCAUAUGAAAGGAAAACUAUUUUCAUGUGAUGUUUGUGAUAAAUCAUUUAUGGUCAACAGAAAUUUGUAUAAACAGAUGAAAAUUCCUCAGAAUAUAAAGAAAAUUAUUUAUUUACACAUCCAAAGUGUUGUAAGUUUUUGGUAUCUACUAGAGGGUUAUUUCUAUAAAAUAAAUAUUAAUAUGAUUUAUUUGAGCACGAAUGACAGUAAAAUUUAUCUAUAAAUAUGGUCUUAUUAUAUUAACAAGAAAAAUAAAAUCUGUACAAAAGGA